rnacentral:rRNA from 1 species
GAAUGUUGUGAACUAAAAAGGAUCAUCACCUAACAUAGAAAGCUCCAAUCGUAUAAACAUACUAAAAACAUCCAAAAUUGUCAAUAUGGCUACUUAUGAUCUGGUUGUGAUCGUUCUUAAUUCCGUUAUAUCUGGAGUAAUUAUAGUACACUCCCGAGAUCAACUUUCAAUCCCAUCAAUUAAUACCUGCCGAAUAUAGGGUGCCAGAUCCCCCGCUCCAUUAUACUCAAAGUGAUUUAUUAAUUGCGACCCCCAUAAACAAUUAGCAUUUGUGUUAACAUAAGUAGUCAAAGCUUCAUAAUCACGAGGAAAGACACCAAAAAGCGCAGAAUAAUCUGCGCCACUCCAAUCCAAAGAAAAACAAAUCAAGUACUCCAUCAGUAAAUACAAAGAUAAAAAAAAAAAAAAAACAAAAAUAUUCAUUUUAUAAAAUGGGAGGUAUCCCCGGCUCGCCCAUGGGGGGUGUUUGUGUCCCAUAUAUCCUUUGUAUCAGCCGGUCCAUCUCCCUUAUUCCCCGAUCUAUAAUAUUGAAUGACAAAUCCCACGAAAAAGGCAUCCCCCUUCCAAGCUCGCGGUUUGGCACCACCAAAUGCCCCAACCCCAUCUCUCGAAGCCGAUCGGGGUGGUACAACAUGGGGUACUGAUCCGGGGGCGGGGGACCUGGAGAGGGGGGGACCUCCCCCGCCAUCAUAUAAAAGGGGGUCUCUGCCCCCUCCCUCAUAUAAAAGGAAGUCCCUGCCCCCUCCAUCGAAUGGAGGAGGGGGGCUUUCUCCAUUAAACUU